UACGUAGGGGGCAAGCGUUGUCCGGAAUUAUUGGGCGUAAAGCGCGCGCAGGCGGUUAUUUAAGUCUGGUGUUUAAACCUUGGGCUCAACCUGGGGUCGCACUGGAAACUGGGUAACUUGAGUACAGAAGAGGAAAGUGGAAUUCCACGUGUAGCGGUGAAAUGCGUAGAGAUGUGGAGGAACACCAGUGGCGAAGGCGACUUUCUGGGCUGUAACUGACGCUGAGGCGGCGAAAAGCGUGGGGAGCAAACAGG
rnacentral:rRNA from 1 species